ACGAGGUUCGUCAUCAGGCACGUAUCUUUGUAUCAAACGGUCUUCCGAAGCAGUUUCCACAUAUGUCGUCGUCUUAACCUACGCCUUGGGUCCAGACGUUCAUUGGCUGUACAGUCAUAAUUGAACCUUUUAUGUACAGAUAUCUUUUAUUUUUCUUAUCAGUACAAAAAGAAUGAAUAAUCGUCUACACUGCCUUUGUGGGCCCGUCGUAACCCUAAAGGUAAGUUUACGUCCCACUCGGUUGUAUAAAUGAUGUAUUUUAUAGUGAUGAAAAUAAUACAAAUUGCGUUCAACAGAAUACUUAUUACGAUAACGCAUUCGAUUUUGCAGGAUUGAUUUAGUUCCAAGUGACGACAGAAUUUUCUGUUUUACAAGCGCUGCUUACAUUAGGCAGCUUUUAACGUAGUUUACCCCCAAAUGAGAAGAAGAUACAAAGGAGUUCAAAUUAUUCUUUGUCGAAUUUCAACAGCCCUUUUCAAAAAAUGAAGGUUUAUGUGACGUUGGUGGAAUCUUGGGCAAAACGGGAUACCGAAAAUGACCACUGUUUCCUCUUCGCUUAAUGAUAAUGCCUCGACUCCAGAUAUUCUGUAGUGUGACAGAAGAGGAAUGGUGCAUACGACAAAUUAUCUGUUCUUAGGACAACGUGGCAAUUGUCUUCUGAAGGUUUCGAGAGGGGACAGCGGUCUUCGACAAUUCUGGGUUACUGUCAUGGCACUCAAGAAGGUAAUAUUAGUACUUAAUCUGUAACCUUAUGGACUGUUCUUAUCAUUAUUUUAUCAUAUUUUGAAGUGUUUACCAGCAAACGUAUAUGUGUCUAUAUAACAGAAAAAUGUUUAGUUGGUGAUCGUCUGUUCUUCAGCGAGUCUGGACCUUACAGGAAAACAUUCAUGGCUGCAAAUUCAUUCUGUCCAAGACAAAAUCAAUGCCAGAGAAUGACAACAAGUGAUCAAGGUGAUUUUGCAGAAGAAUGUCUUAAGGCACACAAUGAAUACCGAGAGAAACAUGGAGUCCCACCUUUAACACUAAACCAAGGGGUUCGUAUUACUUUCAUUUUACGAUGCCUUUAUAUAUCCUGUUGAAAUAGUUUUAACUAACUCCCUUAU